UGCAGUCGNNCGGCAGCACGGAGCUUGCUCUGGUGGCGAGUGGCGAACGGGUGAGUAAUGCGUCGGAACGUAUCCAAUAAUGGGGGAUAACGCAGCGAAAGCUGUGCUAAUACCGCAUACGCCCUCCGGGGGAAAGCAGGGGAUCGUAAGACCUUGCGUUAAUGGAGCGGCCGACGUCUGAUUAGCUAGUUGGUAGGGUAAAGGCCUACCAAGGCGACGAUCAGUAGCUGGUCUGAGAGGAUGAUCAGCCACACUGGGACUGAGACACGGCCCAGACUCCUACGGGAGGCAGCAGUGGGGAAUUUUGGACAAUGGGCGCAAGCCUGAUCCAGCCAUUCCGCGUGAGUGAAGAAGGCCUUCGGGUUGUAAAGCUCUUUCAGGAGGGAAGAAACGAUUGUGGCUAAUACCCAUGAUUAAUGACGGUACCUUCAGAAGAAGCACCGGCUAACUACGUGCCAGCAGCCGCGGUAAUACGUAGGGUGCGAGCGUUAAUCGGAAUUACUGGGCGUAAAGCGUGCGCAGGCGGUUUUUCAAGUCUGAUGUGAAAUCCCCGGGCUUAACCUGGGAACUGCGUUGGAAACUGAAAGACUAGAGUGCGGCAGAGGGGGGUAGAAUUCCACGUGUAGCAGUGAAAUGCGUAGAUAUGUGGAGGAAUACCGAUGGCGAAGGCAGCCCCCUGGGUCGACACUGACGCUCAUGCACGAAAGCGUGGGUAGCAAACAGGAUUAGAUACCCUGGUAGUCCACGCCCUAAACGAUGUCAACUAGUUGUUGGGGANGGAGACCUCCUUAGUAACGCAGCUAACGCGUGAAGUUGACCGCCUGGGGAGUACGGUCGCAAGAUUAAAACUCAAAGGAAUUGACGGGGGCCCGCACAAGCGGUGGAUUAUGUGGAUUANUUCGAUGCANCGCGAAAAACCUUACCUACCC
rnacentral:rRNA from 1 species